CACAGCUUGUCACUGCUGUACACGCGCUCGAAUUAGUAAAGCUGGAACACGGCUAUAAAAGUUGAGGCGGCGCGGAACCAUGAGGCAUUAUGCAAGCAGUAGCAGAACACCAUUCCAAUGUCCACUCCAGAAAUCCUGGUUCCCACCGUUCCGUCCAGCUUCAAUGAGAAGGACGAACCACCCGAGCCGGUGAUCCCAGACGGCGCCGUGUACCUCAUCGGGGGCUUUGUCCUAUGCCUGGUCGUCGGAAGUCUCUUCUUCAUGGCUUACGUCAUGAUCUCGGAGAGCGCGGCAGUUGGGGGCACGCGGAAGUGACGAGUACAUGCCUCUCAUCUUCAACACACCCUUGAAGAAAGCAAGACCAAGUGAGCAAGUCAACUUUCCGAGCAGUGCAUCAUGGUUGAAUCUUUCGCCACCACUCCAUCAAACAUCAACUUCGUGAUUUUUUACAACUACAUAUUGCCAUGCCCUGUGUUGUAUCACUUGAUCCUUGGCUGCAAACAGCAUUUCCUGCUGCCCCAAUAAACUUGCACGCCACCUAGUGCAUAUUGUGACCAGACCAGGCAUCUCGAGGCAUUCAUCCACAAAGAUGCUAGAGCAAGAACUCGUCAUUUUCACUUGUUCUCUGCUGACAAGGACAUUGUUUAUUUGGGCAUUCAGGUACUUUGUACAAAAAUAAAGAUACGAGAUAUAUAAAGGG